rnacentral:rRNA from 1 species
CCUACGGGAGGCAGCAGUGAGGAAUCUUCCACAAUGGACGAAAGUCUGAUGGAGCAAUGCCGCGUGCAGGAUGACGGCCUUCGGGUUGUAAACUGCUUUUAUAUGGGAAGAUUAUGACGGUACCAUAUGAAUAAGGACCGGCUAACUACGUGCCAGCAGCCGCGGUAAUACGUAGGGUCCAAGCGUUAUCCGGAAUCACUGGGCGUAAAGCGUUUGUAGGCGGAAAUCUAAGUGAGAUGCGAAAUCUUGUGGCUCAACCAUAUAGACGGUAUCUCAUACUGGGUUUCUAGAAGAUAGCAGAGGUAAGUGGAAUUAGUAGUGUAGCGGUAAAAUGCGUAGAUAUUACUAGGAACACCAAUGGCGAAGGCAGCUUACUGGGCUAUAUUUGACGCUGAGAAACGAAAGCGUGGGGAGCGAACAGGAUUAGAUACCCUGGUAGUCCACGCCGUAAACGAUGUGUGCUAUUAGUUCGAGGUAUCGACCCCUUGGGCUGAACAGCUAACGCGUUAAGCACACCGCCUGGGGAGUACGAGCGCAAGCUUAAAACUCAAAGGAAUUGACGGCUGAGACGNGCGAGACGACGACGAGGGAGGAG